UUUUUCCAUAGUUUAUCAAAACUUUCACACAAAAUUCCAGAUUUUUCAAGGUCUAGAAAACAGCGCUUCAAAAUUCCAAACUUUU